UACGAAGGGGGCUAGCGUUGCCUGGAAUCAUUGGGCGUAAAGCGCACGUAGGCGGUCCAGCAAGUCGGGUGUGAAAGCCCUCGGCUUAACCGAGGAAGUGCAUUCGAAACUACUGGACUUGAAUACUGGAGAGGAUCGCGGAAUUCCCCAAGUAGAGGUGAAAUUCGUAGAUAUGGGGAGGAACACCGGUGGCGAAGGCG
rnacentral:rRNA from 1 species